AAAGGAAGUGAUGGAAGAUAGAAGAAGGAUGAUGGGAAGUCACAGGAACCGGCCAAUUCCGAAGAGAGGUCAAGUGAAAGCGGCGAUCGUCGUGGGUUUUGCAAACUAUUUGGCCUCUUUCUUUGUUAAUCAUAACGGAAGCUCUUUUACAUCACAAGAUUGCUGACAUUUUAGGAAUUUUUUGAUGAUAUUUUGUAGCUCAAGGAUUAAACAUUGCCUACUU
rnacentral:lncRNA from 1 species